UACAGAGGGGGCAAGCGUUGUUCGGAAUUACUGGGCGUAAAGGGCGCGUAGGCGGCCUUCUAAGUCGAACGUGAAAUCCCCGGGCUCAACCCGGGAACCGCGUCCGAUACUGGAAGGCUUGAAUCCGGGAGAGGGAUGCGGAAUUCCAGGUGUAGCGGUGAAAUGCGUAGAUAUCUGGAGGAACACCGGUGGCGAAGGCGGCAUCCUGGACCGGCAUUGACGCUGAGACACGAAAGCCAGGGGAGCAAACGGG
rnacentral:rRNA from 1 species